rnacentral:lncRNA from 1 species
CAUCCUUAUUUGACCCCAUCUCCUGAGUCCCCAGAGCACUGGGCCAGCCCGUCCCCUCCCUCCCUCUCAGACUGGUCCGACUCAACGCCUAGUCCAGCAACUGCUACCAGUGCCACAGCCGCUGGAGCCCUGCCUGCUCAACCACACCCCAUAUCUGUUCCCUCCCUCCCUCAGUCCCAGACUCAGCUGGGGCCCCAGCCAGAAGUAACCCCCAAGAGGCAGGUGAUGGCCUAAGUUCUUGGAUUUUGGAGGGGCGUUGAAGUGGCACCCCUCCCUGGCUUCUCUCUCCCCCCCUUUUAAUCUCGCUCUCAUCCCUUUAUCUCUGUACCAGCUUUCCUGAACCUCUCUGUCUUGAAGUGUGACAGAGUUGGUCACCAGCCCAGACCCCCAGUCUUCCUUUAUUUAUAAUGGGUAGGGGCUGACCUCCCACCACCUCGGCCCUCUAAGGGGUCUGGGACCUCCUCUCGAUCCCUCUUCCGGCUUCCACUUCCUUUUUUCCCCUCGCUUCUCAUUUUCUCACACUCUGACAUGAGUGAGUUAUUAUUUUUUUUCUUUUUUACAUUUUGUAUAGAGACAAAUUCAUUUAAACAAACUUAUUAUUAUUAUUAUUUUUUACAAAAUAUAUAUAUGGAGUUGCUCCCUUCCCCACCCCUGCAAAUCCCUCCAGCGCCCCCGUGGGGCUGAGUCUGUGGGCCCGUUUGGCCAAUCCGGACUCUGUGUACCGAGUACAUAGAUAUGACUAGGGUUCCGGCGUACUGAGUACGUGGCCCCGGUGCGUACCAAGUAGCCAGCCUUGGGCACACCCUCCCCUGGGGUCAGGGGACACUUGGGAGCCUCCCCCGCCUCCCCAUCCUCCUUCCUCACUUCACUGCAUUCCAGACAAGACUUGUAGACUCAUUGGGAAAGGGGUCUUUCCUGCCCAAAGCCUCCACUGCAGGCCCACCUCCCAGAGCCUGGCUCGCCUUUUAGGGCCUGGGUGGGGCACGUCAGGGGAGUUGUAUUUUGUAUGCAUUCCACUUCUAAUUGUAAAUACAGGGCUGAAAGUGGGAGUGGCGCUCCCUCUUCCUGUUAUCCCCUUGGCUCAGCCUCACUGCCUGAUAGAAAUGUUUCUAAUAUGGCACCUGGUCACAGUCCAUUGUAGCUGAACUCCCAGGUCCUGCACUGUACAACCCUCACCUUCCCAGUUCCCUUACCACCUAAUAAAGGAAUAGUUAAUACCCAA